CCUCCAGCGCUUCAGAAUCCCCCUCUCCCCUGGAUGAAACACAACUUCCUGUUUUAUUUUGUGAUGUCACUUCCUUUAGCUCUGAAGUGUGUUCCAUUAGCAGCUCUUUUUGGACCAAAGCCUUGGACUGGAGAGAAGUGAGUUUGGAGGCACUGCCUUCAACACCAAGGCAAGACAAGCUGCACUCUGGACCUGUGUGUGAGCCUGUCUGUGUGAGCUGGGAAGAAGAGCAACAGAGACGACGAGACGAGAGAUAGGACUCUGCUGGUUUGGAGGAAAUAUCCAGGACUCACAGAGCGGCUCCACAGUCUGUGCUGCUGCUGCCCCUCCAGGAGUCUGUCUGCACACAGGUGAGGAGGAUCUGCACAAAGACACAUCAGCGAGAGAAAUGGACCCAGCUCAGCCUCUGCAGACUCCCCGCACACAGGGAAAGACACACAGUGUGGAGGAGUGAUCUGAAAGGAAUCAACUACAUCACACAUCGAAACAACACCAGAGAAUCCACACUGGAGAGAAGCCCUUGAGUGGUGACUGUGUGGACAUGUAUUUUGCUCAGUCUGCCACAUCU
rnacentral:lncRNA from 1 species